rnacentral:rRNA from 2 species
AGACCCGAAACCCGGUGAUCUAGCCAUGGGCAGGUUGAAGGUUGGGUAACACUAACUGGAGGACCGAACCGACUAAUGUUGAAAAAUUAGCGGAUGACCUGUGGCUGGGGGUGAAAGGCCAAUCAAACCGGGAGAUAGCUGGUUCUCCCCGAAAGCUAUUUAGGUAGCGCCUCGUGAAUUCAUCUCCGGGGGUAGAGCACUGUUUCGGCUAGGGGGCCAUCCCGGCUUACCAACCCGAUGCAAACUGCGAAUACCGGAGAAUGUUAUCACGGGAGACACACGGCGGGUGCUAACGUCCGUCGUGAAGAGGGAAACAACCCAGACCGCCAGCUAAGGUCCCAAAGUCAUGGUUAAGUGGGAAACGAUGUGGGAAGGCCCAGACAGCCAGGAUGUUGGCUUAGAAGCAGCCAUCAUUUAAAGAAAGCGUAAUAGCUCACUGGUCGAGUCGGCCUGCGCGGAAGAUGUAACGGGGCUAAACCAUGCACCGAAGCUGCGGCAGCGAACGUAUCACUUAAAGCGAUUCAGCGGGUUACGAUUGACGGAGCGAAGCGACGUCAAAGCGUAUACAAAGUCGAGUCGGUUUAAGGAUACGUUCGUUGGGUAGGGGAGCGUUCUGUAAGCCU